CUCACUCGAGGCCCCGCAAUUGGAAUGAGUACACUUUAAAUCCUUGCAUGAGGAUCGAGUGGAGGGCAAGUCUGGUGCCAGCAGCCGCGGUAAUUCCAGCUCCACUAGCGUAUAUUAAAGCUGCUGCGGUUAAAAAGCUCGUAGUUAGCUCUCUGUCCCGGACCGGCGGAGGUUAAACCCUGAGCGGCACCUUCCGUCCGGCCUCCGAGCUAUAAACCGUGUGCUGCUUUACGCGUAACGCUCGGGAUGCCCUUCACCGGGUGUCCCUUGCGGGCCACAGUUCCACUUUGAACAAAUAAGAGUGCUCAGAGCAGGCAAAGUCCCAUGCCUGAAUGGUGGUGCAUAGAAUGGAGAAAGAGGUCCUCGGCUCUAUUUUAUUGGUUUUCUGAGCCAGAGGAAAUGAUUAAUAGGGACAGACGGGGGCAUUCGUACUGCGACGAUAGAGGUGAAAUUCUUAGACCGUCGCAUGACGAACCACUGCGAAAGCAUCUGCCAAGGAUGUUUUCAUUAAUCAAGAACGAAAGUGAGAGGUUCGAAGGCGAUCAGAUACCGCCCUAGUUCUAMCCYUAAACGAUACCAGCCAGCGAUCCGCCCGAGUUAAUCCCAUGACUCGGCGGGCAGCUUUCCGGGAAACCAAAGCUUUUGGGUUCCGGGGGAAGUAUGGUUGCAAAGCUGAAACUUAAAGGAAUUGACGGAAGGGCACCACCAGGAGUGGAGCCUGCGGCUCAAUUUGACUCAACACGGGGAAUCUUACCAGGCCCAGACACUGGAAGGAUUGACAGAAUGAAGGCUCUUUCUCGAUUCGGUGGGUGGUGGUGCAUGGCCGUUCUUAGUUGGUGGAGUGAUUUGUCUGGUUAAUUCCGAUAACGAACGAGACUCUGGCCUACUAACUAGUCGAUGGGCUCAGAAAGACCGUCCAGUCCCCCUCGUCUUACCUCGCGUGAGCGAGGGCCGCUCCUCACGGGGCGGUCGCGUCUGCGGUCGAUUGUCCACUGUGAAUUGUAUGACGGAAGUAGCCGCGGCGGAAGGGUUGCAAUAUCGGGGCGGCUUGUGGUUGGGUCGGCGGGGCGCUGUGGGUUCGCUUGCAGUGUUCUGUUGGUCCUCCCUCCCUCCGUGAGCCCCUUUCUUAACCGUGGUCUUCCAAUGUCAGAGCCCAUGGAGAUAUCUUCUUAGAGGGAUAAGCGGCAGCAAUACAAGUCUUAGCCGCACGAGAUUGAGCCAUAACAGGUCUGUGAUGCCCUUAGAUGUUCUGGGCCGCACGCGCGCUACAAUGGAGAGCGCAGCAAGCUAUCCCCUUCUCCGGCAGGAGUGGGUAACCUCUUCAAAGCUGUCCCUAAAGGGGACUGGGGUUUGAAAUUGUGCCCCAUGAACGAGGAAUUCCCAGUAGGCGCAAUUCACCAGAUUGCACCGAUUUAGUCCCUGCCCUUUGUACACACCGCCCGUCGCUACUACCGAUUGAAUGGCCUAGUGAGGGCAUUGGACUGGCGCCCUUGGAGCGGUCCCUUACUCUCCUCGUGGGAGGAAGGGGUUAU
rnacentral:rRNA from 1 species